UACGGGGGGGUAAGCGUUGUUCGGAAUUACUGGGCGUAAAGGGCUACGUAGGCGGCCAACUAAGUCAGACGUGAAAUCCCUCAGCUUAACUGGGGAACUGCGUCUGAUACUGGAUGGCUUGGAUUGGAGAGGAAUGCGGAAUUCCAGGUGUAGCGGUGAAAUGCGUAGAUAUCUGGAGAACACCGGUGGCGAAGGCGGCAUUCGUGGACCAAUAUUGACG
rnacentral:rRNA from 1 species